rnacentral:rRNA from 1 species
GACGAACGCUGGCGGCGUGCCUAAUACAUGCAAGUAGAACGCAGUUGCGAACGGGUGAGUAACGCGUAGGUAACUGCCUCAGAGCGGGGGAUAACUAUUGGAAAAGAUAGCUAAUACCGCAUACUGUGACCUGGACCUGCGUUGUAUUAGCUAGGUGGUGAGGUAAAGGCUCACCAAGGGGACGAUACAUAGCCGACCUGAGAGGGUGGUCGGCCGAACUUGGACCAAAACAAGGCCCAGACAGCGUAGGGAGGCAGCAGUAGGGAAGUUUCGGCAAUGGACGGAAAGCUGACCGAGCAACGCCGCGUGAGUGAAGAAAGUUUUCGGAUCUUAAAGCUCUGUUGUUAGAGAAGCGGUAACUAACCAGAAAGGGACGGCUAACUACGUGCCAGCAGCCGCGGUAAUAC